UGUUAUGGGCGGGCCGUGUGUGGGAGCCCUCGGGCUCGCCGGUUCCUGUACCCGGUAGACCAACCCGCACGGUUCCGCUCACCCGA
rnacentral:antisense_RNA from 1 species